ACGGGUGAGGAAUACAUCGGAAUCUACUCUGUCGUGGGGGAUAACGUAGGGAAACUUACGCUAAUACCGCAUACGACCUACGGGUGAAAGCAGGGGAUCUUCGGACCUUGCGCGAUUGAAUGAGCCGAUGUCGGAUUAGCUAGUUGGCGGGGUAAAGGCCCACCAAGGCGACGAUCCGUAGCUGGUCUGAGAGGAUGAUCAGCCACACUGGAACUGAGACACGGUCCAGACUCCUACGGGAGGCAGCAGUGGGGAAUAUUGGACAAUGGGCGCAAGCCUGAUCCAGCCAUACCGCGUGGGUGAAGAAGGCCUUCGGGUUGUAAAGCCCUUUUGUUGGGAAAGAAAUCCAGCUGGCUAAUACCCGGUUGGGAUGACGGUACCCAAAGAAUAAGCACCGGCUAACUUCGUGCCAGCAGCCGCGGUAAUACGAAGGGUGCAAGCGUUACUCGGAAUUACUGGGCGUAAAGCGUGCGUAGGUGGUCGUUUAAGUCCGUUGUGAAAGCCCUGGGCUCAACCUGGGAACUGCAGUGGAUACUGGGCGACUAGAGUGUGGUAGAGGGUAGCGGAAUUCCUGGUGU
rnacentral:rRNA from 2 species